UUUAGAGGGAUAAAAAAAGGGGGGGGAAGCACGAGAGUUUAACCCCAAGUGGAACCCGUAUGUAUUGCUUGCAACACCAUCAAAGAAAGUAAAGAAAGAGAGAAUGCGAGAGGCGGAGAAUGAGCUGUCGUUGCCCCUCUCCCUCGCCGUUGCCGCCAAAGAGGAAGAAGAUUGAUCUUUCCUUGGCCAAAUCUCACAAAAUUGUUGGGAUUUUGGCCGGAUUCAAUCCCCAAACACCUUGGCCCGCCUUCUCUAGCCUUGAAGCCGUCGUAUUUCGACCCAAGACCGCCAAAAAAUGAUUUUUCUACCAAACCCAAUGCCAAUGGCGACCCGUGAUCCAAUCCGAUCCAAAUUGCAUGUUUUUCUUCAAUUGAUUAUGUAGAGUGGUUCAGGACCGUUCUAGUCAGAGAAUUCAGAGGUUGAGAAUCAUAAAGUUCAAAUUCAUGAGGAUUUGCUAAGCUGGAGGAGGAUGAAGCAUUGGUGUUUGUGUUGGUGUCGGUGACGGUGUUGGUGUGGGCACAGAUUGUAUCUGGUAAAACGGGAAUAUUU